CUCGCAGGAGAGGGCUGGGCAGAGGAACCACGACGGCCAUGCGGAAGCCACACAAGAGCGAUCCAAUGUCUCAUCUCCGCCCUCAAUCAUGGCCUCCGCUGAUGCCAAAGUAAACCCAUUCAGCUUCAGGAGGCUUUUCAGCAAACAAAGCAUAAUUUGUACGACGGAUCUGUGUGUUACAGAGGAUCACGGGCAUUUGAAAUGACACAACUGGAAGCUAAAUCCAACAGCAGGGGAGACCCUUACCAAGGCGAGGUAUGAUGCUCCACUUGGUCUCACUGCCUCCCGUCUCUGCUCCAUCCAAUCUAUCUUCCAGUCCAGAAGUGAAGGUUUUGUGCCAAAAUGCAUUCACCCAUCCAAACAUUCAAUAAAUAUCUACUAAGUACCCACUAAAGGUUAGGUGUGCGUGAAGCCCUGGUGGCAAAGAAAUAAACAGACCCGACCUCUUCCCUCAAACAGCUAGUGAACAGUGCAAACCAUGGCAUGGUUUGAAAAAUGAGCAUGAGGACUGCCCAGGGUCCCUUUGGGAAAUGCUGAACAGAGUG
rnacentral:lncRNA from 1 species